rnacentral:rRNA from 1 species
UACAGAAAGUGCAAACGUUGCUCGGAAUCAUUGGGCGUAAAGCGCACAUAAACGGUUUGUUAUGUCGGAUGUGAAAGCCCCCGGCUCAACUGGGGAGGGUCACGCGAUACUGAUCGACUCGAAGGCAGGAGAGGGUAGUGGAAUUCCCGGUGUAGUGGUGAAAUGCGUAGAUAUCCGGAGGAACACCAGUGGCGAAAGCGGCCACCUGGACUGUACCUGACGCUCAAACGCGAAAGCUAGGGGAGCGAACGGG